ACGGGAGGCAGAAUGACCGCGACUCGGCUUGGAAGCGACGGAUGGCAAGAGAUAAAGGGAGCCGGAGAAUCUGACCAUCUUCAGUGACAUUGAGGCUGAAGCUGAACUGGUUUCAGUGUGAUCGACACAUGAAACUUUUGUAUAGUUUGUGUUGCUUCUUUUGUGUGUGUGUAUUUGCUCUUUUUUGUUGCAGUAAACAAUUUGACUCA